GGCCAUAGCUCAGUGGCAGAGCAUCUGCCUAGCAUGCAGAAGGCCCAUGUGAAAUCCCUGGCAUCUCCA